UGGCGGCGUGCUUAACACAUGCAAGUCGAACGGUGAACACGGAGCUUGCUCUGUGGGAUCAGUGGCGAACGGGUGAGUAACACGUGAGCAACCUGCCCCUGACUCUGGGAUAAGCGCUGGAAACGGCGUCUAAUACUGGAUACGAAUCACGGCCGCAUGGUCAGUGGUUGGAAAGAAUUUUGGUUGGGGAUGGGCUCGCGGCCUAUCAGCUUGUUGGUGAGGUAAUGGCUCACCAAGGCGUCGACGGGUAGCCGGCCUGAGAGGGUGACCGGCCACACUGGGACUGAGACACGGCCCAGACUCCUACGGGAGGCAGCAGUGGGGAAUAUUGCACAAUGGGCGAAAGCCUGAUGCAGCAACGCCGCGUGAGGGAUGACGGCCUUCGGGUUGUAAACCUCUUUUAGCAGGGAAGAAGCGAAAGUGACGGUACCUGCAGAAAAAGCGCCGGCUAACUACGUGCCAGCAGCCGCGGUAAUACGUAGGGCGCAAGCGUUAUCCGGAAUUAUUGGGCGUAAAGAGCUCGUAGGCGGUUUGUCGCGUCUGCUGUGAAAUCCGGAGGCUCAACCUCCGGCCUGCAGUGGGUACGGGCAGACUAGAGUGCGGUAGGGGAGAUUGGAAUUCCUGGUGUAGCGGUGGAAUGCGCAGAUAUCAGGAGGAACACCGAUGGCGAAGGCAGAUCUCUGGGCCGUAACUGACGCUGAGGAGCGAAAGGGUGGGGAGCAAACAGGCUUAGAUACCCUGGUAGUCCACCCCGUAAACGUUGGGAACUAGUUGUGGGGUCCAUUCCACGGAUUCCGUGACGCAGCUAACGCA
rnacentral:rRNA from 1 species